GCGCGGCGCGGCGUAGUUUUAUUUUUAUGCAACUUGAGGAAGCCGGAUUCCCCCCCCCCACUCCUUCCCUCCCCCUGUAAAAUGCCCAGCUAUUUCUAGAAAAUUUGCGUCGCUGAAAUACUUUAAUCUGUGUGCUCUAUUUUAUUCUUUUAAAUAUUUUUUUUUUUCUUUUGCGUUUGUGAUUUUAUGAGCACAUAUUCCUCUUAGCGGCUAUGAAUUUCUAUGAAUUCUAAAUAAGCUUUUCUAGGGAUGAAACGUGCGGGGUAUUUUUACACGAGGAUUUCAACUUUUCGGUUGACAUAAUCUGAAGGUACCACAGCCUUUUCUGCGACUGUUCAAGUGCUUCCCUGCCCUGCAAGGAGUUAUCACAUUGCUUAAACCAGCCCUUUAUGCCAUCAUUUUUCUUUUUUUAUUCUUUUUUUAAGCCUAUAUGUUGCUCAGCUUCAGUGGAUGAUUUUCUUCUCCUCCAAACUGAAACGCUCUCAGGUUUUUCUGUGCUUCUCGGUUUGUUUUGAACCCGUAGGAAAAUAUUAAUACAGAGCAGUGAAAAAGAAACAGUGAUGCGUCUUCCGUUCAGGGGAGUCGGCAAACCUGUCCACUUCUAUGCCGGGAAGUACAGAGAGCAGAUCCAUAAUUCAGUGCAGGAGCAAAUGAAUUCACAGCGAUGCAUAGGAUGGGUAUUAUGUAACUUAAUAAGAAAUGUGGUUUUGAUCGUAGGAGCGGACGCUGCGCUUGUAGGUAUAAAUAUCAAAUCUAGCAGCCCUUCCAUGGGAGCCUGGCCGUGCAUGAGUGCAGGCUGGGGCUGUGCUCUGGUGAAGCCUCAUGGCGAUGUGCCUGCUCCGUUGAACCCCCUGUUUCUGUUUCAAAACCUCAGGAAUCAUUCCCAACAAGACCACUGCUCUGGCCACCAGCUGCUCUGGCAUGCAGGAUGUCUGUUCUACUUGUACAGAUCUUCUACAUAUGGCUGGUGUUAGUAAAACCAUCCAAGGAGAUGAACAUGGAGUGUAGUGUGGGUCUUGGCUCUCACAGAGCCUUUUUCACCUGAAACAUCAAACCUAAGAAGGUUACAUCUACCAGCUGCUUCUUCUGGGUGGACUACAUCAGUGUGCAGUGACAAAUCUUGGGGUCUGCUUCCAAAGCAAAAUGUGUCCCGAAAAGGAAAGGCCUCCCCAGUGCCUUUUCUGAGGCUGUCAUUGUAGACAUGGGGUUCAUACAUGAGCACACCCAGGAGACAAAACCCAGCAACUGUGCCCUUUGUGCUCACAGUCCAGAGCUGCACAGGUUGCUGACAAAACUGGGUACAAGCUGACUCUACCCAGGGCACAGGUAGAGAAAGGGUUUCUCACAGCACAGGGUGAUGCACACUCUCCCCAGAAACUCCAUAAAGUCAGAAAUUCUUUAGAAUGAUGCUGGAAAAAUUUGGCUUCUGAAGCUCAUUAGAAAGAGCUUGUGAUUUUGUCUAUUUUAGCAGUACCCCUAUGGCUCAACUCUUUGUCUUCCCUCUGAAGUUAAUGUAUGUGUUGCUUUAGGAUGUCAUUGGCUGCAAAGGAUUUGUCAUGUCUUCAGAUUCUUUAGGAAUGAGUAUGCUGAGCAUCUCUCAUGUAUUAUGGAGGGAUUUCUGUCCCAAGCAGACAAUAUCAGUGGGAUGGACUGGGAGUUGGGCUAAGAGACUCUCUUUUGGUGCUUGUUAGUGCUCUAUGGAUGCAAU
rnacentral:lncRNA from 1 species